rnacentral:rRNA from 1 species
GACGAACGCUGGCGGCGUGCUUAACACAUGCAAGUCGAACGGUAAGGCCCUUCGGGGUACACGAGUGGCGAACGGGUGAGUAACACGUGGGUGAUCUGCCCUGCACUUCGGGAUAAGUCUGGGAAACUGGGUCUAAUACCGGAUAGGACUCCUGGCUUCAUGGUUGGGGGUGGAAAGCUUUUGCGGUGUGGGAUGGGCCCGCGGCCUAUCAGCUUGUUGGGGGGGUAAUGGCCUACCAAGGCGACGACGGGUAGCCGGCCUGAGAGGGUGACCGGUCACACUGGGGCUGAGAUACUGCCCAGACUCCUACGGGAGGCAGCAGUGGGGAAUAUUGCACAAUGGGCGCAAGCCUGAUGCAGCGACGCCGCGUGAGGGAUGACGGCCUUCGGGUUGUAAACCUCUUUCAGCACCGACGAAGCGCAAGUGACGGUAGGUGCAGAAGAAGGACCGGCCAACUACGUGCCAGCCGCCGCGGUAA